rnacentral:rRNA from 1 species
UACGUAGGGUGCGAGCGUUGUCCGGAAUUAUUGGGCGUAAAGAGCUCGUAGGCGGUGUGUCACGUCGUUCGUGAAAACCUGCAGCUUAACUGUGGCGUGCGGUCGAUACGGGCAUCACUGGAGUUCGGCAGGGGAGACUGGAAUUCCUGGUGUAGCGGUGAAAUGCGCAGAUAUCAGGAGGAACACCAGUGGCGAAGGCGACUACCUGGCCUGUUCUUGACGCUGAGGCGCGAAAGCUAGGGGAGCAAACGGG